GACGAACGCUGGCGGCGUGCCUAAUACAUGCAAGUCGAGCGGACCAAAGGGAGCUUGCUCCUGGAGGUUAGCGGCGAACGGGUGAGUAACACGUGGGCAACCUGCCUGUAAGACUGGGAUAACAUCGAGAAAUCGGUGCUAAUACCGGAUAAUAAAAAGAACUGCAUGGUUCUUUUUUGAAAGAUGGUUUCGGCUAUCACUUACAGAUGGGCCCGCGGCGCAUUAGCUAGUUGGUGAGGUAACGGCUCACCAAGGCAACGAUGCGUAGCCGACCUGAGAGGGUGAUCGGCCACACUGGGACUGAGACACGGCCCAGACUCCUACGGGAGGCAGCAGUAGGGAAUCUUCCGCAAUGGACGAAAGUACUGACGGAGCAACGCCGCGUGAGUGAUGAAGGUUUCGGAUCGUAAAACUCUGUUGUUAGGGAAGAACAAGUGCCGUUCGAAAGGGCGGCACCUUGACGGUACCUAACGAGAAAGCCACGGCUAACUACGUGCCAGCAGCCGACGG
rnacentral:rRNA from 1 species